CUUCCCUCAGGAAAGCAGCCACGCAGCCUGCAAGAACCAACCUGUGACCCUCCGCUAAAAAAUUCCCCGGGAAUUACAGGGCAGGGAACUGGGCAGCCUCGGAGGAAAAUGCCCUUUAAACGAGCGAGACGGUGACUGCGUGCCUGCUAAGCUCAACGCCCGCAGGGCUGCCUUUCUCCAGGCUCGGGAUCAAGCCAGACUGCCUUGCCUGGGGCUGCGGCGGAGCACUGGGAGCGCUGCCCUUCCCGGGCGGCUCCGGUGAGCAAGCGAGGCCGGCCCGUCUGGCGGGGCUGCGGCGGAGGCGGCAGCCGAGCACGGAAGUACAGUCACGUCUGGCCUUGCCUCACCUGCGCCCUGCCUGCAGCAGCGAGGAGAGAGCAGGAGGUGUGCGUGCACGCAGGCCAGGCCGCGCGCGGAGGACAGAGGCAUGCUGAGGACGAGGUAUCGGUCCAACAGCUAACUAGAAACACAUGGAUCCAGCAUGCCACAGCUGCACAGGGGGAGCAGAGGACACUGCCAGCUCGGCGACCACAGCCACGUCUCCUCUGCUCUGUCCUCAGAUACGCCCAAACAUACCCAGUCUGUCUCCUUCAGGCAGCCACUUCCAUCGGUGAUAAACCCCUGCUGAGACCUUAUGCUCCCACGUCACAGGGAACGCAGCUCACCAGCCCCAGGAGACCAGGUGCUCUGCACAUCAGGCUCUGCAGGCAGCCCACGAAUCCCCAAACGCCCUUCCUCGAGCAGCUCCCCCGUGCUGGGAUGAGCACCCCGGGAUGGUCAGCCACGGUUACCUCAGCUGCAAAGGCCCUGGCCAAAAACUGGUGCCUCUCUGCUCACUUCACUUCCUUGCUACUGCCAACCGCUCUCUGGAGCCCCUGUCCCGCUGCGAGUCUCCUCGGCUCUCCAGAGAGCACACGCAAGCGAUGGAGGCUUAACCUGGACAGCGAGAAAAGCCACUGGAAGCAAGAGGAGAAAAAAGCCACCUUAAAUAAAGCACAUGCAUAAGCAAUUGUAAUUGUCAUUAAUGCAUUCCCAGGUCUCAGCUGGGAAGCAGCGUUACUGCACUGUGGUUUUACAGCCCCGCACUGGUGAGGUUUAGUCUUUUAAACGUGAACUGCGCUUACAAUUGAAGCUAGACAAACUUUAAUUAAAAAUAAAAAUAGAACAAAAAUAAGAACAAUUAAAAAGGGAUUAGCUAUGAUGCAAGUUAGCAAGAUAUGUGCGUUCUCCUCCGCUGAGAAAAAUAAAAGAAACCCAGUCUGCAACUCUAAGACAUCAGUUUGAUUUCAAAACUGCAUAGUCUGCUAUCACAAUCUAUCCUGACAUUAAAAACUUGCUCAACUGAGAAACUUGCUCUGGCAGAAGGGACGAAUGGAACAGAGUAUCCAGAAUCAUGGCAUGUUUUAUUAGAAAAAAAAUUAAGCUUCUUCAUCUAGGGUUUUUGGGGCUUUUCCCCCCCCUUUCAGAAAUAGGCAGGCUUUUCACCUCAGGGGCCCGUUGCUUUUCAGUAUGUUCAACUGAAAAGAGACAAGAUUUUUACCCGUACAACGUAACGAAACACACCUCCAAUCCUCCAGCUCUUUUGAGGACAGCUCAGCUCCAAUAGCAUCAGCAGUAACAACAUAUUCUCUUAUUUCUUAAGCACUAGAAAAAACAGCAGCAUAAAAUUAAUUGGAACAUUAGCCACAGAAGGACGUGGAGAGAAAUCAUCAUUACUAUGACUGUUUGCAGCCAGCUGCAUGAAUUUGCAAAUCACUUUUCUCCUCACUUCUCGCACUCAUCCCCAGGUUCUUCCAGAGAGGGGAAGGAAGGAUUUGGGCCAGGUGGAUACCAGAGCUGCGUGCAGGAAGGCCCCAGCCCCGACGAGGGAGACCUCCAAGGUCCUUUGUGGGAAGCAGAGUGCUUAUACCUUCUCAUCCAACACGGACGUAACAGGUCCCCCCUCCCAAACCCCAGCAGGGAACAGAAGUCCCAAUUUUGAAGGGUUACCUCGAGCAGAGGGGGCUCCCACCCCAGUCAGAAAAGUGAGUCACCAGCAAGCCUACGAUCAGACGAAACGGGCAACGUCGCAACUACAGGGACGAGCGCUUGGUGCCCAAACAAGGCAACGAGCGAUUUGCCAUUAUCGCUGCUCUCAGAGGGGCCAAAGUUAGCUUCUUCUCUCCGCUUCCAAGGCACAUACAGAGAUAAUUAACUUUGGAUUUUCUUCCUAAAAGGCAUCAACUAAAAUAGCUCCAGAAGAACAGGCAUCCGAGCCCACGGGAUUGAUCGGACAAGAGGCAAAUGUUACAACCGCGACAGACCCACAUCAGUUUCAAUUCCACAGAAAACAAGACUCCAAAGAAUCCCAAGGUGUAAGGGGUUACAAAUAUUCAGACUUUAUUAUAAAUAAGAAAUACUGUUUUAUACAUAAAAACUGCAAGUGUUGCAUUUUGUUCACCGCCCCAGACAGCAAGACCACAGAUUAAGGCAAAAAGCUGAAGUGAAGGCACAUACUGAGGGGGCCACAGUCAAGAAUAAAGUGAUGAAGGAACUGUCACACGUUCUCGGUGACAUCCAGCACUCCAUCAGCAGCUGUCUCAUCAUCACAUUACGUAAAGAAAUAACUGGACUUAUACAAUGAAUAAUGGCUGUAAUGCAGUAGUGAUUAAGAGAUUGCUUAUAAAGAUUUUUUUUUAUUUAAAAAUAAAAUUCUGUUAAAAACAGCUUAAGAAGACAAAAAAGGGGGGAAAAAAGCAGGAAACCUUAGGCCUGAGGUCAGCCAGGGCAUGCGUGCAUCUUCGCGUCUGCUCUUCCCACAGCCUUGGCAGAGAGGUGACAUGGUUAGGAGACAGCCAUGCGACCAGAGCAGCCAGCCAGGAAAUACUGGUGUGCAAGUCCCACAGGCGUGGGUGAGCACAGGUAAACUCUCCUCCAAGGGUGCUACUAAGCGUGUUCACAGGCAGGGGGAAAUCCCAAGUCGGGUCUUGGUAAACUGUAAGAAACUCUAGGGAAACGGGCGCAGAGGAGCUGUAGGGUUUGCCGGAAGCGCUCCCCGCCUCUGUCCAGCAGCACUGCUUCUGAGCACGCAUUGGGCCUCCCACUAAGUUCUCAUGCCCUGCACAGUGGUAUUAAGAAGAUCCCAAAUUCGACUCUCAGAUCACCUUAACAUUGGGUCUCUCCUCUAAAUAGUGCUACGGCUCCUCAGAGCCCAGCUGCAAACCCACAGCCAUCCCCCCGCUCCCAGUACAUCAGCGUAGCGGCACUUGCGUCGCCGAGACGCAAAGGACUGGUUCCUACGAGCGACGGGCUCACAAUAUAGAUACUGGGAACAUGGGGGAGGAAAGGGAGCGGGAGCCCAGGCAGGGGGAACACCUGGCUCGAGAGGAACAACAGACAGGAGCAAUGUAUGCUGCACGUGUUGUGAUGCUCACAGGGGAAAGCACAUAGAGGAGGACAGGCUGUGCCACUCUGGAAAUAUGGCUGAGUAUAUUUACACACACAUACACACACACAAGAGACUUCCUCACUCUAUAAUCAUGAUAAAAAAAACAAACAAAAAAAAUCACAUUCACACAAAAAAUAUAAAUUUGAAAUAAUUAAUAGCACCAGUGUGUGUCAGAUAAUAAUUUCUUCCCCGCUACGCAAACGUACAAAGUUGCAUAGUGUUUAAGUAUAGAUAUAUAUUGGAUCUCAAAGAGGAGAGAGAUGGGGAUGUCUGACUGGAACUAAUGAGGAAACUGCAGAGGAUGCUCCCUUCUCGGAUGAGGGUUAAAGGGAGGAGUGAAAGCUUCCCCACCACUCCAUCCCAACAAGACUGAUUAAGUAGCUGGGAAUGGAAGACACUAACUGGAGAGGAACUCUACAGGGGAGGCAGUAGUAGCUAUGUGAAGUACUGUGAGUGCAGAAUUGCCA